UACGGAGGGUGCAAGCGUUAUCCGGAUUUACUGGGUUUAAAGGGUGUGUAGGCGGGCUGUUAAGUCAGUGGUGAAAUCUCCGGGCUCAACCCGGAAACUGCCAUUGAUACUAUUAGUCUUGAAUUUUGUUGAGGUAGGCGGAAUAAGUCAUGUAGCGGUGAAAUGCAUAGAUAUGACUUAGAACACCAAUUGCGAAGGCAGCUUGCUAAACAAAUAUUGACGCUGAGGCACGAAAGCGUGGGGAUCAAACAGG
rnacentral:rRNA from 1 species